rnacentral:lncRNA from 1 species
AAAAAAUUCUACUGGGAUCAUUGCCCUACACAGAAAAGCAGACAGAGUUGGGAGUUGAACCCAAGAACCUAGAACCCCGCCAAAUGCAAGUGUUUCUGAAAUGGCCUCUUCAUUUACUUGAAAGAGACCUCAUGCCAAAAAAUGCAUAGCAUCAUCCCCCACCUGCUCAGUCAUGCCUUGAAUCUCAAGCCCAGAAACGCAACUGCUGCCGGUGGGGGGUGCACCCCAAAAGUCCUCAUCCUGAGAACACCUGUUAAAAAGUCCACGAUGGCAGAAAUCCCUGGUGCUGCAUGGAGAAUCUCCACUCAGGUGCGUCACCCCCUAGACGUUAGGAAGGUCCGGGGCAGGUGUCCGGUGGGGUCAGGGAGACACGCAGGUUCAAGGUUGUUCUACAACCCUGAGAGAAAUGUCUGGGCCUCAGAACGUCAAGAGAGCUGGUUCUUCAGAGUUCUAUUUUCCAUUCCGCUACUUUGAGAGGGAUGUGGGCUUUCAUUGUGCUCGUUAUUUUCAUGAAAACUCAUUACAAAACUGAAACCAACAUCACAGAACAAUGAGGAAUCACCAGCCCAUUGAACAAGUGCAGAGCGGCACAUAUGACCACUGCAAUGCUUCCUUUCCAAAGCUCUUUUGCUCUUGCGUGGAGUGGCCCCCGCCACGGGCUUUCCCAGGUCACACCUGCUCCACACUUCUCUCCAGGUGCCUCUGUCCCCUGAGGCCUCACCUCGGGCCCGGGUCGCCCUGCACAAACAGCCCCUGGGCGGGCACACAGCACUGACUCUGCUGCAGUCUCCAGGUUCCCGAAGCCAGCUGCCUACUGGACACUGCACCCUUAAAGUCCCACCGAUGCAUCCCCAACAGGGUCUCCUCCACGGCCCCCCUUCCUGGUGAAGUCUGAUCAGCUUCCAGCCACACAGAUGUGAAGACUCAUUGUCUCCAAGGAGCCCCAGAGUCCGGUUGAUUCCCCUUCUGAAUGUCUCCUCAUUCUGACCUCCUCCUUCUCACACCCACUGCCCUCCACCCAGCCUGGCCUCAGCCCAGAAGGGCCUCCUCUCCAGCCUCCGUCCGGGUCUCUGUCACCUCACCUGUACUCUGCCCUCCACCUCACCUCUACUCUGCCCUCCGCCUCCCUCUGGAAGGCUGCUGUCCUCCUCCGGGGUCCUUCACUGCUCACUGAACCACCUCUCAGUCUGACCUUCAAGGACCCAAAUCUACCAACUCACUCUUCUCUUAUUCUCUAACACCAACCCUCAACACCAUCAGGCUGUCCCCUGCCACUCCAUGAAUGUCCGUCCCUCAUACCUGUGUCCCCACCAUCACCUUAUUUAAAAUGCCUCUCCCUCUGAUCUGCCCAUUCAACGCCUCAUCGAAGCCCAAUUCCAGUCCCUCCCUCCCUGUGGCAACCUUGCCUGACUCUGCAACAACUGCAACCCCAUCCUUCUCCCUGCCUUUGUGUCCCCAUGUUGCUUCAUUAUAGUGGGAUGUCAAUAGGCAUUAAAAGGUUGCUGUCUCCUCUACUUCCUUGUACCCAUUGUCAAAGACCCCCACCGGCUUGUUCGCAAAUUCAGAAAAACGUUCCCCUUCCUCAGAACACUACUGCUCAGAGAUUGUCGCAUUUACCAAGUCUGUUCACAUUUAUGAACACAUUUAUGAAGCCUGAGAUGAAUGGUGGCCCUAGGACUGCUGGUGACAAACCCGCCUGAGCCCAGCCCCCAAGGUGGCA